GGUGACGAGCGGCGGACGGGUGAGUAAUGUCUGGGAAACUGCCUGAUGGAGGGGGAUAACUACUGGAAACGGUAGCUAAUACCGCAUAACGUCGCAAGACCAAAGAGGGGGACCUUCGGGCCUCUUGCCAUCAGAUGUGCCCAGAUGGGAUUAGCUAGUAGGUGGGGUAAUGGCUCACCUAGGCGACGAUCCCUAGCUGGUCUGAGAGGAUGACCAGCCACACUGGAACUGAGACACGGUCCAGACUCCUACGGGAGGCAGCAGUGGGGAAUAUUGCACAAUGGGCGCAAGCCUGAUGCAGCCAUGCCGCGUGUGUGAAGAAGGCCUUCGGGUUGUAAAGCACUUUCAGCGAGGAGGAAGGUGGUGAGCUUAAUACGCUCAUCAAUUGACGUUACUCGCAGAAGAAGCACCGGCUAACUCCGUGCCAGCGGCCGCGGUAAUACGGAGGGUGCAAGUGUUAAUCGGAAUUACUGGGCGUAAAGCGCACGCAGGCGGUUUGUUAAGUCAGAUGUGAAAUCCCCGGGCUCAACCUGGGAACUGCAUUUGAAACUGGCAAGCUAGAGUCUCGUAGAGGGGGGUAGAAUUCCAGGUGUAGCGGUGAAAUGCGUAGAGAUCUGGAGGAAUACCGGUGGCGAAGGCGGCCCCCUGGACGAAGACUGACGCUCAGGUGCGAAAGCGUGGGGAGCAAACAGGAUUAGAUACCCUGGUAGUCCACGCUGUAAACGAUGUCGAUUUGGAGGUUGUGCCCUUGAGGCGUGGCUUCCGGAGCUAACGCGUUAAAUCGACCGCCUGGGGAGUACG
rnacentral:rRNA from 1 species